rnacentral:rRNA from 1 species
UACAGAGGGUGCGAGCGUUGUUCGGAAUCAUUGGGCGUAAAGCGCGUGUAGGCGGCCCGGUAAGUCCGCUGUGAAAACCCGAGGCUCAACCUCGGGACGUCGGCGGAAACCAUCUGGCUAGAGUCCGGAAGAGGAGAGUGGAAUUCCCGGUGUAGCGGUGAAAUGCGCAGAUAUCGGGAAGAACACCCGUGGCGAAGGCGGCUCUCUGGGACGGUACUGACGCUGAGACGCGAAAGCGUGGGGAGCGAACAGG